CUAAGCUUAUACGGGCCGCAGAUAGGUUUUUAGCGCGCACACUGACAGACAUACAGAUACAUACCCAGCCAGGAAGGCAUACAGACAGACAUACAAAUACACAACACACACUGACAGACAUACAGACAAACACACGCAUACACCGACAGACAUACAGAGACACACACUGACAUACAGACACACACAGAUAUACAAACACAGACAGACAUACAGAUACACAACACACACUGACAUACAGAUACACCCACUGACAGAGAUAUGGAUACACAAACACUGACAGACAUACAGAUACACAACACACACUGACAUACAGAUACACCCACUGACAGAGAUAUGGAUAUACAAACACAGACAGACAUACAGAUACACAACACACACUGACAUACAGAUACACCCACUGACAGAGAUAUGGAUACACAAACACUGACAGACAUACAGAUACACAACACACACUGACAUACAGAUACACCCACUGACAGAGAUAUGGAUACACAAA